rnacentral:rRNA from 1 species
GUUCGGGUUGUCAUGCCAAUGGCACUGCCCGGUAGCUAAAUGCGGAAGAGAUAAGUGCUGAAAGCAUCUAAGCACGAAACUUGCCCCGAGAUGAGUUCUCCCUGAGACUUWRRGUCUCCUGAAGGAACGUUGAAGACGACGACGUUGAUAGGCCGGGUGUGUAAGCGCAGCGAUGCGUUGAGCUAACCGGUACUAAUGAACCGUGAGGCUUAACCUU